UUCCGAACCUGGCAUGUGUGUGCUUUUCUCUUCUGUAGCACUUUACUUUUUUGUAUAAAACUUUUCUGCUUUUCUCUAUAACUCACUGUUGAUCUAAAAAUCACCACAGAUGUUUGAGACCUAAUCUUUGAGACAAUGUGGAGACAAACAUUCACACAUUAAGUAGAUUCUUACUUACCAAGCAGCCGCGGUAAAGAUGAUUUCUCCAUUUUAACUCUUGGUCAUCUGAGAUCAACACAUUAACGUUCACCAGUCACACCAAGUAAAACCCUCCUCCUUCCUCUUUGUGUGUCACUCGUUCUCUUGUGGUUUUCUCUCACAAAGUUAACAGGAAAUAUACUUAUACAUGUUUCUCAGUGGAAAACUGACCAGGUUGUGCAGAGCCACAGUGGAGACACUUACUGAGAGACAAAUCACAUCUUUUGCCAGUUUAGUCUUUUAUAGACAGCAUGUAUUAACUUGGUAUUUGUAUAUAAUUUACCAAACAAAUAUACAUAUGUAUACAAACAUAAGAUCAUGUGGCAAUAAAUAAAGGACAUCAUCAUUCAACCUCACCCCUGUUUUCUGGCAUGGCUGCAGAACAUUGACUUUGAAGCCAAAAGAUUCACAAGAACUGCAGGCCUGUAAAAUUACUGACAAUACUCACAAAUGAAAGCAAACAUUGCAGAAACUUGGAAAGGAAAUGGUAUUCCACCAAUUUCAAAGAAUCUCGAUGAAUCUGGCAAGAAAACAUGUAGGAAGGCCCUCAGUGAUGCCAGAGCAGCGUAUUACUCCACAUUAAUAGCAGAAAAUAAGAACAACCCCAAGUUCCUUUUCAGCACUGUAGCCAGACUAACAGAAAGUCACAGCUCUGUUGAACCAUGUAUUCCUAAAGCCAUCAUUAGUAACGACUUCAUGAGCUUCUUUAAUCAUAAAAUUUAAAUUACUAGAGACAAAAUUCAGCAAGACCUGCCCUCAACUAGCAACAACUUAUCUCCAAAAUCAGGAACCUCAGAAACAGCUGUAAAACCAGAUAUAUGUUUAGACUGCUUUGUUUCCCUCCACCUUUACCAGCUAACUUCAAAAAUGUCUAAAGCAUCAACCUGUCUUUUAAGUCCCCAUCCCAACUAGACUGCUUAAAGAAGUUUUACCCUUAGUCAGCACUUCUUUAUUAGAUAUGAUCAAACUGUUUUUAUUAGCAGGCUAUGUGCCACAGAGAGUGACUGAGUCCAAACAAAUCCAUAAAGAAACAAAAUCAAAACAGCCAAUCAAAAUCAAAAGAAGGCAAAAGUGCAACAAAGAUCCACAAACAAAACAAGCAAGAUUAAAAACUGGAACACAUUUGAAAGAGCACAACAAGCUACAAGGAUCCGACAAAAGGGAACAAGCAAACCUACCAUUAUAUAGAGGGGGCAGGGUAACUGUAACACAGGUGAGACACAUGGGACUAAUAAGACUGAACAGGAAACAAAGCUAGACAAAGACACCAGACACAGACAACUCCAAAACAAACCAGGAAGUAAAACUCACAAAGACGCACAAGGGCGACUUAAAUAAAACAGAGCACAGAAACAAACGAACAACUGACAAAAAACCAAGAACACAGGAGGCGGGGAGUGAUAAACACAGGAGGAAAUGGCAGAAACACAACAAAGAUGAACAAAUAAAAAGCCAAAUGUCGCGGUGACAGCCUGGCUGUUGGUUCACUCACCUCUGCCUCCCAGUUCGGCCAGCCGGGCUUGCACGCCAGCCUCCUCCUCCUCUCGCCGCCUCCAUGACGCCCUCCGGCUUCCCCCCUUGCACCCCGCCGGGUCCCCGGUCACUGCGUCCUCUCCUCCCCGUCUGCCAGCCUGCCUCGAACCUCCAGCCUAAGCACCUUCCGCUCCUCCAGCUACUCGGUCCCCCGCGUCCUCGUCUGCCUCUCCCCCUCUUUCCUCCCGUCCCUCCUCGUCCCCCUUUUUCCUCAAACCUCCUUUUCAAACCCUCAGCGUUGCGUUUGGGUCCGUUCUGUCUACCGUUGCACCAAACCCAAAAACAUGAUACAUCCUCUGUAUAACUUGUAACUUAGCAUGACACAGAGACUGAGGUUUGGUCAAUUUUGUGAAGUUUAUUGAAAACUUUUAAAGUAAAUAAAAAGUAAACAUAUCACCCUGUUUAACAUCUAAACCAAACAAGCAAGAGUAACAACAAAACUCAAACCAGAACCUGAACCUGAGCUUUUAUUUGGACCAAAAACA